rnacentral:misc_RNA from 1 species
UACGUAGGUCGCAAACGUUGUUCGGAUUUACUGGGCUUAAAGGGCGCGUAGGCGGCUUCGUAAGUCAUGGUUGAAAUCCGGCGGCUCACCCGCCGAACUGGCCAUGAUACUGCGGAGCUAGAGUCAUGGAGGGGUGCGCGGAACUUGUGGUGGAGCGGUGAAAUGCUCAGAUAUUACAGGGAACACCGGAGGCGAAGGCGGCGCACUGGCCGUGUACUGACACUGAGGCGCGAAAGCGUGGGUAGCGAACGGG